rnacentral:rRNA from 1 species
AACGAACGCUGGCGGCAUGCCUAACACAUGCAAGUCGAACGAGACCUUCGGGUCUAGUGGCGCACGGGUGCGUAACGCGUGGGAACCUGCCCUUAGGUUCGGAAUAACUCCCCGAAAGGGGUGCUAAUACCGGAUAAUGUCUUCGGACCAAAGAUUUAUCGCCUUUGGAUGGGCCCGCGUUGGAUUAGCUAGUUGGUAGGGUAAAAGCCUACCAAGGCGACGAUCCAUAGCUGGUCUGAGAGGAUGAUCAGCCACACUGGGACUGAGACACGGCCCAGACUCCGACGGGAGGCAGCAGUGGGGAAUAUUGGACAAUGGGCGAAAGCCUGAUCCGGCAAUGCCGCGGGAGUGAUGAAGGCCUUAGGGUUGUAAAGCUCUUUUACCCGGGAUGAUAAGGACAGUACCGGGAGAAUAAGCUCCGGCGAACUCCGG